UCAAAGGAUCUUUUAUUAUGCCCUAGGGCUGACCAGCUUUAUUUUUCUGCUUGAAGCAUUUGCUUCUCUAUGAGACAAGGGAUCAGGCAGGGAAGAAGGGUUUUUAUUUUUCCUGCAAUGGCAGCUACUCCCUCCUCCAUGCCUUCAUCAGCAGAGGAGGUCCUCCUGUCUCUUAUCCUGUUCUCUUGAACAGCCACUGGAGAUCUAUGGAAAAGAGCUUAAGAAAGGCCAUGUGAAGACACGGUGAGAAGACGGCCAUCUGAAAGUCAGGAGGAGUAUCCUCUUGAGAACUGAAUCAAGCUAGUACUUUGAUCUUGGACUUCCAGCCUCCAGAACUGCAGUGUUGGUCUGCAAGCUUCAAGAGCCAGUGACCCUGACUGCCAAGUGAUUUGCCGAAGGGAAUUAUGGUUUUGCAUUUGAUGGUUUCCAGGAACUGCUAAGAGUGAGAUCAUCCCUGAAGCAGUGACUGCCAGAGGAAGGCGAGAGACAUAUGGUGGCCUUACAGGAGAAGAACAUGUCUCAGAGAGCUCCUACUCCUCCAGUUUUGGCCCCAGAAUGAAACACAGGAAGAAGACCUGAAUUUGAUUUGCAUUUCAAAGUAGAACUGUCCCAGCUGACAUGAAGACUGAUGAAUAAGGAAUAAGUAUUUAUUGUUGUAUGUCACUGAUAUUUCUGUGGUCGAUUAUGUGUAGAAGAGCUGACUUGUACACUUACAUAAACUUGAAGAAGACUGAAUUUAGAAAUGGAGUUUCUGCAUAUGGUUAUGUCUGAGUAGCUCCAAGUGGAUCAUCCCUCCCACAGAUAACAACUCUAAACUCUGGACAAAAUAUAAAAAUAACAAUUUCCUGAAUAUCAAAGAGCAACCCAAAUCAUGCAGAUACUGGGUAUUAAGGCUGAAUUUGUCUACACAUCAAACAUGUACCUAGGAGGAAUAUUUGCUCUGUGCCAUCAGCAGUGUAGAAACUAGAAUAACCAGCUGCCGUAUUGUGAGCUGCAUUAUGAAGAGAACCAUGUGGCAAGACACUGAGGGAGAUCUCCAGCCAACAACAACUCAUAAGCAACUAAAUCUUGUGAUGAACCACUGGAGUCAUCUGGAAAGAGGAUCCUCUCACCUUCAAUCUUUGAAAUGGCUAGAGCUCUGAUGACAGUUGGAUUACAGCCUUAGGAGAAACAGAGAGCCGGGGAAAUUUGUGCCCAGGUUCCUUUCCCACAGACAUUGUCAGAUAAUAAAUAUCUCUGCGUUUUUAAGCUUC
rnacentral:lncRNA from 1 species